CAAGUCGAGCGAGAAAGUACCCUUCGGGGUGCGAGUACAGCGGCGAACGGGUGAGUAACACGUAAGCAAUCUGCCCCCAAAUCUGGGAUAACUCUGCCAACGCGGGGCUAAUACCGGAUGUGGUCACGACAUCGCAUGGUGUUGUGAUUAAAGAUGGCUUCGGCUAUCGUUUGGGGAUGAGCUUGCGGCCCAUUAGCUUGUUGGUGGGGUAAUGGCCCACCAAGGCGACGAUGGGUAGCCGACCUGAGAGGGUGAUCGGCCACAUUGGGACUGAGAUACGGCCCAGACUCCUACGGGAGGCAGCAGUAGGGAAUUUUGCGCAAUGGACGAAAGUCUGACGCAGCGACGCCCGCGUGAGGGAUGACGGCCUUCGGGUUGUAAACCUCUGUUGAGUGGGACGAAAACUCGUAGGGUUAAUACCCCUGCGACCUGACGGUACCACUCGAGGAAGCUCCGGCUAACUACGUGCCAGCAGCCGCGGUAAUACGUAGGGAGCAAGCGUUGUUCGGAAUCACUGGGCGUAAAGGGGAGUGUAGGCGGAAAAGUAAGUUAGGAGUGAAAUACCACAGGCUUAACCUGUGGGCCGCUCUUAAUAACUGUUUUCUUGAGUAUGGGAGAGGAAGAUGGAAUUCCAGGUGUAGCGGUGGAAAUGCGUAGAUAUCUGGAAGAACACCCAGUAGGCGAAGGCGGUCUUCUGGCCCAAAUAACUGAACGCUGAGGCUCGAAAAGCUAGGGGGAGCAACCAGGAUUAGAAUACCCUUGGUAAUCCUAGCCGUAAACGAUGGCCACUAGUUGUCGGGCGGAAGCAAUCCCCUUCGGGUGGACGAAGCUAAACGCAUUAAAGUGUCCCGGCCUGGGGGAAGUACGCUUCGCAAGGGGUGAACUUCCAAAGGAAUUGACCGGGGGCCCGCACAAGCGGGUGGAGCAUGUGCUUUAAUUCGAUGCAACGCGAAGAACCUUACCUGGGUUUGACAUGGGGGUGAAAGUAACCAGAGAUGGAUACCUUUUCCUUCGGGAACACCCUACACAGGUGCUGCAUGGUUGUCGUCAGCUCGUGUCGUGAGAUGUUGGGUUAAGUCCCGCAACGAGCGCAACCCCUACCCUUAGUUGCCAGCGGGUUAUGCCGGGUACUCUAGGGGGACUGCCUGGACUAACCAGGAGGAAGGUGGGGAUGACGUCAAAUCCUCAUGGCCCUUACGCCCAGGGCUAGACACGUGCUACAAUGGCCGGUACAAUAGGCUGCGAACUCGCGAGAGUAAGCUAAUCCGAUAAAACCGGCCUCAGUUCGGAUUGGAGUCUGCAACUCGACUCCAUGAAGGUGGAAUCGCUAGUAAUCGCGGAUCAGCAUGCCGCGGUGAAUACGUUCCCGGGCCUUGUACACACCGCCCUGCAAGCCGUGAAAGACGGUAGUGCCCGAAGUCG
rnacentral:rRNA from 1 species